CCUACGGGCGGCAGCAGUGGGGAAUAUUGGGCAAUGGGCGCAAGCCUGACCCAGCAACGCCGCGUGAAGGAAGAAGGCUUUCGGGUUGUAAACUUCUUUUCUCAGGGACGAAGAAAGUGACGGUACCUGAGGAAUAAGCCACGGCUAACUACGUGCCAGCAGCCGCGGUAAUACGUAGGUGGCAAGCGUUAUCCGGAUUGAUUGGGUGUAAAGGGUGUGUAGGCGGGAGCGCAAGUCAGAUGUGAAAACUCAGGGCUCAACCCUGAGCCUGCAGUUGAAACUGUGUUUCUUGAGUGCUGGAGAGGCAAUCGGAAUGCGGGGUGUAGCGGUGAAAUGCGUAGAUAUACGGAGGAACACCAGUGGCGAAGGCGGCUUACUGGACUGUAACUGACGUUGAGGCUCGAAAGCGUGGGGAGCAAACAGGAUUAGAUACCCUGGUAGUC
rnacentral:rRNA from 1 species